rnacentral:rRNA from 1 species
GAUGAACGCUGGCGGCGUGCCUAAUACAUGCAAGUCGAGCGAACAGAUGAGGAGCUUGCUCCUCUGACGUUAGCGGCGGACGGGUGAGUAACACGUGGAUAACCUACCUAUAAGACUGGGAUAACUUCGGGAAACCGGCGCUAAUACCGGAUAAUAUAUUGAACCGCAUGGUUCAAUAGUGAAAGACGGCUUUUCUGUCACUUCUAGCUGGAUCCGCGCCGCAUUAGCUAGUUGGUAAGGUAACGGCUUACCACGGCAACGAUGCGUAGCCGACCGGAGGGGGUGAUCGGCCGCACGGGAGGUGGACCGGGGUCCAGAGGCCUGAGGGAGGGAGCAGUAGGGUAUCUUCCGCAGUGGGCGAAAGCCUGACGGAGCGACGCCGCGUGAGAGAUGAAGGUCUUCGGAUCGUAAUACUCUGUUAUUGGGGAAGAACAGAUGUGUAAGUAACUAUGCACGUCGUGACGGUACCUGAUCAGAAAGCCACGGCUAACUACGUG